rnacentral:rRNA from 1 species
GACGAACGCUGGCGGCGUGCUUAACACAUGCAAGUCGAACGGAAAGGCCCUGCUUUUGCGGGUUGCUCGUGUGGCGAACGGGUGAGUAACACGUGAGUAACCUGCACUUGACUUUGGGAUAACUUCAGGAAACUGGGGCUAAUACCGGAUAGGAGCUCCUGCUGCAUGGUGGGGGUUGGAAAGUUUCGGCGGUUGGGGAUGGACUCGCGGCUUAUCAGCUUGUUGGUGGGGUAGUGGCUUACCAAGGCUUUGACGGGUAGCCGGCCUGAGAGGGUGACCGGCCACAUUGGGACUGAGAUACGGCCCAGACUGCUACGGGAGGCAACAGUGGGGAAUAUUGCACAAUGGGCGGAAGCCUGUUGCAGCAACGCUGCGUGCGGGAUGACGGCCUUCGGGUUGAAAACCGCUUUCGCCUGUGACGAAGCGUGAGUGACGGUAAUGGGUAAAGAAGCACCGGCUAACUACGUG